AUGGAGCUCCUCCCCCAUCGCCCAAGCCCCGUCCGCCUGCCACCGCGGGGCCGAGUGCCUCCCGUCCCUAAUACGGUGCAGUUCCCCACCCUACUUCUUCCCCAUAUGAAGGAGCUGAACUUCAUGUGCCCACGGCGUUGGCCGUCCCUUACCCGUUCAAAUACGUUGGGGUUGGAAUUUUUCCUCUCCUCCUCUACUCUGUUCAAGUUCAAGAUCAUUGGGUGA
rnacentral:rRNA from 1 species